GCCCAGACUCCUACGGGAGGCAGCAGUGGGGGAUAUUGCACAAUGGGGGGAACCCUGAUGCAGCGACGCCGCGUGGGUGAAGGAGCGUUUCGGCGCGUAAAGCCCUAUCGGCAGGGAAGAAGGAGGACGGUACCUGACUAAGAAGCCCCGGCUAACUACGUGCCAGCAGCCGCGGUAAUACGUAGGGGGCAAGCGUUAUCCGGAUUUACUGGGUGUAAAGGGGGCGCAGACGGCAGCGCAAGCCAGGAGUGAAGGCCCGGGGCCCAACCCCGGGACUGCCCUUGGAACUGCAUGGCUGGAGUGCGGGAGGGGCAGGCGGAAUUCCUGGUGUAGCGGUGAAAUGCGUAGAUAUCAGGAGGAACACCGGCGGCGAAGGCGGCCUGCUGGACCGCGACUGACGUUGAGGCUCGAAAGCGUGGGGAGCGAACAGGAUUAGAUACCCGUGUAC
rnacentral:rRNA from 1 species